UCCUGAGUGAUAACUCAGUUGGUAGAUAAUGAGACUCUUAAUCUCAAGGCUGUGGGUUCGAACCCCACACUGGGCG